GGCCAUAGCUCAGUGGUAGAGCAACUGCCUUGCAUGCAGAAGAUCCUGGGUUCGAUCCCUGACAUCUCCA